AACGAAAAACCCUCCUUGGGUAACCAAAGAGGAAUUUUUAGUGGCGAACGGGUGAGUAACACGUGAGAAACCUGCCCCGGAGACCGGGAUAGCCCAGGGAAACCUGGAUUAAUACCGGAUAUCCCUCCAUUGGUCGCAUGUCCGAUGGAGGAAAUGGUCCGCCGCUCCGGGAUGGUCUCGCGACCUAUCAGCUUGUUGGUGAGGUAACGGCUCACCAAGGCAACGACGGGUAGCUGGUCUGAGAGGACGAUCAGCCACACUGGGACUGAGACACGGCCCAGACUCCUACGGGAGGCAGCAGCAGGGAAUAUUGCACAAUGGGCGAAAGCCUGAUGCAGCGACGCCGCGUGGGGGAUGAAUGCCUUCGGGUUGUAAACCCCUUUCAGGAGGGACGAAGCGAAAGUGACGGUACCUCCAGAAGAAGCCCCGGCCAACUACGUGCCAGCAGCCGCGGUAAUACGUAGGGGGCGAGCGUUGUCCGGAUUUAUUGGGCGUAAAGAGCUCGUAGGCGGCUCAGCAAGUCGGCCGUGAAAGCCUGAGGCUCAACCUCAGGACGCCGGUCGAAACUGCUGUGGCUAGGGUCCGGUAGAGGAGAGUGGAAUUCCCGGUGUAGCGGUGAAAUGCGCAGAUAUCGGGAGGAACACCAGUAGCGAAGGCGGCUCUCUGGGCCGGUACCGACGCUGAGGAGCGAA
rnacentral:rRNA from 1 species